GACACUGAUGACAUUUAUGCAAAAUGAAAUCGAAAUUCAAGAGGGUUUCAAUUGACGCCGGCGACCACAGGAACAUGCCAAAAAGGGCUUCCGUAGAAGAGUUUUUGUCUUGUCGGAAACUAUAUG
ensembl:ncRNA ZK84.10 ncRNA